UCUUGGCCAGCCUUCUGAAAGGAAGAUUAAUACAAGAUGGCAUCAUGAGUCCGCAUGUUCACAUGAUUAAAGGUAUUCCGGUAGACGAUGGGGAUGCGUUCCAUUAGAUAGUAGGCGGGGUAACGGCCCACCUAGUCUUCGAUGGAUAGGGGUUCUGAGAGGAAGGUCCCCCACAUUGGAACUGAGACACGGUCCAAACUCCUACGGGAGGCAGCAGUGAGGAAUAUUGGUCAAUGGGCGAGAGCCUGAACCAGCCAAGUAGCGUGAAGGAUGACUGCCCUAUGGGUUGUAAACUUCUUUUAUAAAGGAAUAAAGUCGGGUAUGCAUACCCGUUUGCAUGUACUUUAUGAAUAAGGAUCGGCUAACUCCGUGCCAGCAGCCGCGGUAAUACGGAGGAUCCGAGCGUUAUCCGGAUUUAUUGGGUUUAAAGGGAGCGUAGAUGGAUGUUUAAGUCAGUUGUGAAAGUUUGCGGCUCAACCGUAAAAUUGCAGUUGAUACUGGAUAUCUUGAGUGCAGUUGAGGCAGGCGGAAUUCGUGGUGUAGCGGUGAAAUGCUUAGAUAUCACGAAGAACUCCGAUUGCGACGGCAGCCUGCUAAGCUGCAACUGACAUUGAGGCUCGAAAGUGUGGGUAUCAAACAGGAUUAGAUACCCUGGUAGUCCACACGGUAAACGAUGAAUACUCGCUGUUUGCGAUAUACAGCAAGCGGCCAAGCGAAAGCGUUAAGUAUUCCACCUGGGGAGUACGCCGGCAACGGUGAAACUCAAAGGAAUUGACGGGGGCCCGCACAAGCGGAGGAACAUGUGGUUUAAUUCGAUGAUACGCGAGGAACCUUACCCGGGCUUAAAUUGCAGAUGAAUUACGGUGAAAGCCGUAAGCCGCAAGGCAUCUGUGAAGGUGCUGCAUGGUUGUCGUCAGCUCGUGCCGUGAGGUGUCGGCUUAAGUGCCAUAACGAGCGCAACCCUUGUUGUCAGUUACUAACAGGUUCUGCUGAGGACUCUGACAAGACUGCCAUCGUAAGAUG
rnacentral:rRNA from 1 species